rnacentral:rRNA from 1 species
AGCUCCAAUAGCGUAUAUUAAAGUUGUUGCAGUUAAAAAGCUCGUAGUUGCAUUUGUGGGGGUGGCUGAUGCCUCGUCCCUCCAAGAGGGUCGUGGGUGUCGGCUGCUCCCAUCUGUGGGUGGAAUCUGUGUGGCAUUAAGUUGUCGUGCAGGGGAUGCCCAUGUUUUACUGUGAAAAAAUUAGAGUGUUCAAAGCAGGCGUUCGCCAUUUUGAAUAUAUUAGCAUGGAAUAAUGAGAUAGGACCUUGGUACUAUUUGGUUGGUUUGCGCACCGAGGUAAUGAUGAAUAGGGACAGUUGGGGGUAUUCGUAUUCCAUCGUCAGAGGUGAAAUUCUUGGAUUUUUGGAAGACGAACAACUGCGAAAGCAUUUACCAAGGAUGUUUUCAUUAAUCAAGAACG